rnacentral:lncRNA from 1 species
CUUCAUAUGACUUGGGCUCAUCAACAUCUAGUUCAUUCAAGGUGGUAUGUAAGCAAUGUUCCAUUUGGAGGAGUAGGGAUCAUAUUAACCCUCAGGGAAUAUCUCAUAGUAAUCCCAAUAAUUUCUUAUUGGACAGUCUUGACUAUCAUGCCCCACCAAGUCACAAUACUGACAAUGAGAAGGAAGAAAUGUUUUUAAUUGCUUUUUAAAACCUUUCAAUUUAGCCUCUAACACAUAUUCACUCAUUGUUAUCCUCUUAGGGUUGAUUUGUUCUUGGUUAUCCAUGAUGUAAUCUCUCAUAGUUUUCUUGUUGGCCAUGUUUUUUUUUUUUAUUUUACAAAAACAAUAAUCAAUUGCAAACAGUCUCUGAGGAG